GUGACGGUAAACUUGUAAAAAGCCAUCUUCCCACUUCAGCAGUGGAAGCGUUGGAUGAAGAGUUCAGAGAUUACAGGAACUGUGGCUUCGCUGUCGGCCGGAGAGGAGGAGGCGGUUCGGUUGAUCUGGGUUUCGUCUCUCCAGAACUUGAUGAAAUGACGGUUAAAAUUAGCCAAAGAUCUCGCGUGCCUUUCCAUGAGCCGUGGUGUGAGCGGCGAGUGAUGCGGGAACAAGAGGGCAACGAACAGGACUGGAACACCGCCUGACCCGCUGCACCUGCUGCAACUAAGGCUGUGUUCACACCGCAGCCUGAAGCGAACCAACUCCUGGAUCUAAGAGUCAAACCCUAAAGCUCUUAAUUCACCUGUAAUGGUUUUAAUUCCUAGAUGUUUACAUUUUGUUUUAAAGAAUACACAAAGAGUUGAAGGAAAUAAAAAUGAUUAGAGGUUAGUCUUUCAUUUCUACAUUGUGAAAAUGGUCUGUUUAAUCUGUGGUGUUAACUCCUAUAUGAAGAAAAGAAACUGAGACAACAACAUGUCGUCACUGGAAGAUAGCAAAAGCUGGAGGAGUCUGGACAGACUGGAAGGAGAAACCUCACCGCUGUGGUCACUGUGACGAGAGUUUUUCUACCACCUCAUUUCUGAAACAUCUGCGUGUUCACGCUGGAGAGAAACCCUUCCUCUGUGACGUGUGUGGAAAGACUUUUAGCCAACUAUCAUCUCUUAAGCAACAUCAACUGAUUCACACAGGAGAGAAGCCUCGUGUCUGCAGCUACUGCAGCGAAAGUUUCAGCCAUCUCGAAAGUUCAUCGGCGAAUCCACACAGGAGAGAAACCGUACAGCUGUGACCGAUGUGGACGAUGCUUCAGUCGGUCAGUAACUUUGACAAACCACCUGAGAAUCCACGAUGGAGAAACGGCAGAACCAGAUCCAUCACCAUCUCCUGUAUCGUCUUGAUGUUUCACCAACAUAAACAGAAAAAAAACUGUUUUAAUUAAAUUCAUUUGCAUUCAA